rnacentral:rRNA from 1 species
UACGAAGGGUGCAAGCGUUACUCGGAAUUACUGGGCGUAAAGCGUGCGUAGGUGGUUUGUUAAGUCUGUUGUGAAAGCCCCGGGCUCAACCUGGGAAUGGCAAUGGAUACUGGCAGGCUAGAGUGCGGUAGAGGGUAGUGGAAUUCCCGGUGUAGCGGUGAAAUGCGUAGAUAUCGAGAGGAACACCAGUGGCGAAGGCGAGUCCCUGGACGACUCCUGACACUGAGGCACGAAAGCUAGGGGAGCAAACAGG